rnacentral:tRNA from 1 species
GCACUCAUGGUGAAAAGGAUAUCACACUGGUCUUCGGAACCAGUAUUUCGGGUUCGAAUCCUGAUGGGUGCGCCA